UACGUAGGGGGCAAGCGUUGUCCGGAAUCAUUGGGCGUAAAGAGCGUGUAGGCGGUCCGGUAAGUCGGUUGUGAAAGUCGGGGGCUCAACCCUCGGAGGCCGACCGAUACUGUCGGGCUAGAGUCCGGAAGAGGCGAGUGGAAUUCCUGGUGUAGCGGUGAAAUGCGCAGAUAUCAGGAGGAACACCAAUGGCGAAGGCAGCUCGCUGGGACGGUACUGACGCUGAGACGCGAAAGCCAGGGGAGCGAACGGG
rnacentral:rRNA from 1 species